GAUGAACGCUAGCGGCAGGCCUAACACAUGCAAGUCGAGGGGUAACUAGAGUGAUAGCAAUAUUACUUUGGCUAGACCGGCGCACGGGUGCGUAACACGUAUGCAACCUACCUUAUACUGGGGAAUAACUUCGAGAAAUCGGCGCUAAUACCCCAUAACAUUGCGAAGAGGCAUCUCUUUGCAAUUAAAGCUCCAGCGGUAUAAGAUGGGCAUGCGUCCAAUUAGCUAGUUGGUGAGGUAACGGCUCACCAAGGCUACGAUUGGUAGGGGUUCUGAGAGGAUGAUCCCCCACACUGGUACUGAGACACGGACCAGACUCCUACGGGAGGCAGCAGUGAGGAAUAUUGCGCAAUGGACGAAAGUCUGACGCAGCCAUGCCGCGUGCAGGAUGACGGCCCUAUGGGUUGUAAACUGCUUUUGUACGGGAAUAAACCCUUCUACGUGUAGGAGGCUGAAGGUACCGUAAGAAUAGGCACCGGCUAACUCCGUGCCAGCAGCCGCCGUAAGAC
rnacentral:rRNA from 1 species